rnacentral:rRNA from 1 species
GCUGACGAGCGGCGGACGGGUGAGUAAUGCAUAGGAAUCUGCCCGAUAGUGGGGGAUAACCUGGGGAAACCCAGGCUAAUACCGCAUACGUCCUACGGGAGAAAGGGGGCUCCGGCUCCCGCUAUGGGAUGAGCCUAUGUCGGAUUAGCUAGUUGGUGAGGUAACGGCUCACCAAGGCCACGAUCCGUAGCUGGUCUGAGAGGAUGAUCAGCCACAUCGGGACUGAGACACGGCCCGAACUCCUACGGGAGGCAGCAGUGGGGAAUAUUGGACAAUGGGGGAAACCCUGAUCCAGCCAUGCCGCGUGUGUGAAGAAGGCCCUCGGGUUGUAAAGCACUUUCAGCGAGGAAGAACGCCUAGCGGUUAAUACCCGCUAGGAAAGACAUCACUCGCAGAAGAAGCACCGGCUAACUCCGUGCCAGCAGCCGCGGUAAUACGGAGGGUGCAAGCGUUAAUCGGAAUUACUGGGCGUAAAGCGCGCGUAGGUGGCUUGAUAAGCCGGUUGUGAAAGCCCCGGGCUCAACCUGGGAACGGCAUCCGGAACUGUCAAGCUAGAGUGCAGGAGAGGAAGGU